AAGAAGAAGAAGAAGAAGAAGAAGAAGAUUUAGGACUGGGCAAAAACUGCCCAACCAGAAGAAGAGAGAGCCAGAGCUCCGGGAGAGAAAGGAGGGAGUCCAGCGAAUCAGGAGAAGAGAGAGGAAGGGCUGGCCAACCAGGAACCAGGAAAGGAGGAAAGGAGAGAAGGCGAGAAGCGGAGGAAGAAGAACAGAAAUGGGUCACAACCCGCGACCCGGUGGGUUUUCCACCCAUUUUCGUCGAAAUUUCUUCAUUUUUCCAGCGAAUUGGAUCAAGGUACCACUCCCAAUCAACAUCUAGGCCUUCCCUUUUUACGUUUUACCCCAAGAAUCAUUGAAUUUUGUUGUGAUUUCGCGAAAGAACACCCAUACGGGUGCCGCGACCCUUUUGUUCAAAUUCUCCAAAUUUUGAAAUGUUUUCUUUCAAUUACUAACACCUUUAGCAUUCCUUUAGGACCUAGAACAAAGCCCAAGAGGUAAUUGAGGCGUUGGAACAAGUUUGAAGGUCGAAUUGGAAACACCCAAAUUCUAGGGUUCUUCACGGUUUUGGUGAAAUUGAAGCACUUCCAGGCCAAAUUGGCCUUGGUCUCAGGUAUGAAAGUUGUUUCUACUCAUUGAGAUCUUCAAAUCUGCAAAUUUUGGUAAUUUUUGGAAAUAGUUGAAUUUUCCGGCGAGCCGGGGGCGGCCAACCGCCACCCGCGGCGGCCCGCGCGGCGGCGCGUGGCCAAUGGCCGCCAAUGUCAUUAUUAGCUUGUGAUUAAGGUUCUAGGUUCUGUUUGAUAAUUGAUGGACGUAAAUUGAAUAAUUGAACCUAAGUUGGUUACGAUUCGUGAUUAGGUGAAAAUGUGAAUUGACGAUCCGACCGUUGGAUCGUCAUCAAACUUUGAUACGUUGUAAUACAUAAUAUUUGAGGACUAUAGGAACUUACGGAUUGGGAAUCCAAUUUACGGAUCUUCCGGAAUUGAAGUUGUAAGUUCAAAAAAUAGAAUGUUAACCGUCACUUAGUUUUGGAAAUUGACGGAGAUCCGAGAUCCGACCGUUGGAUGGUAAUGAAAUUUUAGGAUGUUGUCCUAGAGGUAUAUUGUGGACCUCUGGAAGUUACGGAUUUGAAAUCUGAAUUGCAGAUCAUCCGGAUCGAACUACGUAGUGACGUGUCUUAUAUAAGUUAUGUAUAUUCUAUCGGCAGAAUUUCUGAGGUUGGAUUUGAUUGUUGUUCUAGGCGCUAAUCGUCAUAACGCCUUGAUGUACGGUGCUAGGGAGUUGUGGGCGAACUCCAGGUGAGUGGGCAGUUUUGUUUUCCGUCCGUAUAUAUAUGUACUUGACGUUUUCCCAGAAAUUGAAAUUUAAUGAAAAAUGUGAUUUGAAAUGCCAUGCAUAGAAAUGAUAUGAAAAGUAUAUAUAUAGAAAUGUGAAUUGAAUUGCCAUGCAUGAAAUGAUAUGAAAAAUAUGAAUUGAGAUAUGAUGCAUAUGUAUGAAUUUGGUACUGUGGACGCACAGAUGAGUAUCAGGUGAGUAUUAUUACUACUAUGAUGAUGUUGAGAGAUAUAUUGAGCUCAUAACCUGCACCUUGGUAUUAGUGCUUAUUACUAUUCACCGCAUCGCACGCUCGCCUUGGAUCCAAGUAGAUGCUAGUCGUACAGACCACUAGAGGUGGUUCCGACAUGCCAGUCGUACAGACCAUUAGAGGGGUUCCGACUGGUAGGUGACUGGUAGGUGAUCUUAGAUUAUGUGCACAGAUGAUUGAUGAGAGAAGCACUAGAGCGUAAUAGUAACCAUUAAGUCGUACAGACUACAUUAGGUGGUGGUUCCGACUUAUGUGCAGUGUAGGCCGUACAGGUCACAGUAGGUGACUCCGGCAAGGGCCGUACAGGUCACAGUUGGUGACUCCGGCUAGAUGAUAUUUUGAGCUCUAGAUUCAACCGUACAUGACCAUUGUAGGGUCUUCGGUUGAUUACUUCUUGCACCUGAUAUAAUUAUUGUUGAUGCAUUCAUACUUAACUGUUGAAUUCCGACAUGGCAUGGCAUAUUUGUACUGAAAAAUGUUGAGCUAAUGAAUUGAAGUAUUGAGAAUAUAUAUGUAUAUUUUAUAUUUUACAUUUAUGGGAAAGUAUACAGGUUUUACGGAGAGGGGUUACAACGUUUUGAGAAAUGUUGAAUUUGGAAAAGAAUUGUUUUACUGACCCACUCAAUUUUGGUUUUUGCGCCCCUCCAGGUUCAGGAAUCACAAAGGUGUGGUGACUACGAGGAAUUCGAC
rnacentral:lncRNA from 1 species